GGCCCUGGCCAAAGGGCAUGUCCCUGGUGAUGAGUGAGGGCUGUCUCCUUGUUGCCUCACCAGGUCUCGUGAGCGGGAGGUGCCCUGGAGGAGCUGGCUGGUGGUACUGGGACGGACACUGUUACUACGUGGAGGAGAGCGAUGCCGAGACGUGGCAGCAAGCGGAGGCAGCCUGCAGUGCCUCUGGAGAAGGCAUGGGGCUGCUGGCUCUCGACAGCCUGGAGGAGACGGCCUGGGUGACAGCCAUGGUGCAGAGGGACAGCUGGACUGGGCUGAAUGACCUAGAUGGCGACGGCAGCUGGACGUGGGCAGUGGCUCAGCACGCAGAUGGUGCUGCCCCCUGGCUGGCCGAUGUGCCGCUCCUUCCGGGAGGCUGCCUGAGCAUCGGAGCCCCGGGGGAUUCUGGCCUUACCGUGUCCAACUGUUCAGGACUCAAGCCCUGGGUCUGCGAAGGAGCGGAGGUUCCCUGGAGCCGCUGCCCCACGGAGCCUGGCUGGAGACACUGGAAUGGUAACUGCUACUACUGGGACUCGUCCUUGGCCGGCAGCACCUGGCAGGAGGGGCUGCAAGUGUGUCGGCAGUUCCGACAGACAGAGCUGCUGUAUCUGACCUCGCGCCAGGAGAAGGUGAGAACCAGAGAGCCCAACCCAGCAGAGCGCCAGAGACCCACUGGACUAGCACACGCCUCAGGCCUCCGAGAGGACAUGAGGUGGGGCAGGGCUCCCGGCCCUGCUGCUGGAACAGGGCUCUAAUCUGGGGGCCAUCGAACCCAGCUGCGCAGCUCCCUGAGCAGGCAGAGUCCUACACAGAACCCAAGAGGAGCCGGAAGACACAGACCAGGGUGUGAAGUACAGGAAGGGGGCGGAAUAGGCUGAUUUUAACUGUGUGUGUAGGAAACAAGCCCCCCAUCUCUCACACAGGUCGCUGUCUUCACACUGGGCUGCCUAACGUCAGGCAUCCAGAGGCAGAGAUGCUGAGCUUCCCCUGAGCUGCAGGGGCUCAGCGUUGCUGGUGAUCUCUAGGCCCAACUGUUUGAAAUGUGGCGCAGGAGCUGGGGGACCAAAUUUCCCUGUGCUCAAUAUGGGACACCCGGUAAAAUUACUCGUAUUCAAGCGAGUUCAACGGCAAUAGGUCAGAACUGUGCAGUACAAACGUUCAAAUUAACGUCAAGUUGCCUGAGCCCCCGGCAAAAAGAAAUACUGGGUAGGUGGAUUCUUUUUAUUUACCUUCUUAUCUUU
rnacentral:lncRNA from 1 species